GUUUUUAUAGUUUAAAAUAAAACAUUGGUCUUGUAAAUCAAAAAUAAGAUUUUCUUUAAAAACU
rnacentral:tRNA from 1 species